CCAUGCCGCGUGCAGGAAGACGGCCCUAUGGGUUGUAAACUGCUUUUAUACGGGAAGAAAAACAGCUACGUGUAGUUGACUGACGGUACCGUAAGAAUAAGGACCGGCUAACUCCGUGCCAGCAGCCGCGGUAAUACGGAGGGUCCGAGCGUUAUCCGGAAUUAUUGGGUUUAAAGGGUCCGUAGGCGGGCCAUUAAGUCAGUGGUGAAAGUCUGCAGCUCAACUGUAGAAUUGCCUUUGAUACUGGUGGUCUUGAGUUAUGGUGAAGUGGCUGGAAUAUGUAGUGUAGCGGUGAAAUGCAUAGAUAUUACAUAGAACACCGAUUGCGAAGGCAGGUCACUAACCAUAUACUGACGCUGAUGGACGAAAGCGUGGGGAGCGAACAGGAUUAGAUACCCUGGUAGUCCACGCCGUAAACGAUGGAUACUAGCUGUCCGGAUCCUUGAGAUCUGGGCGGCCAAGCGAAAGUGAUAAGUAUCCCACCUGGGGAGUACGUUCGCAAGAAUGAAACUCAAAGGAAUUGACGGGGGCCCGCACAAGCGGUGGAGCAUGUGGUUUAAUUCGAUGAUACGCGAGGAACCUUACCAGGGCUUAAAUGCAUAUUGACAGGGGUAGAGAUACCUUUUCCUUCGGGCAAUUUGCAAGGUGCUGCAUGGUUGUCGUCAGCUCGUGCCGUGAGGUGUCAGGUUAAGUCCUAUAACGAGCGCAACCCCUACCGUUAGUUGCCAGCGAGUCAUGUCGGGGACUCUAACGGGACUGCCGGUGCAAACCGUGAGGAAGGUGGGGGAUGACGUCAAAUCAUCACGGCCCUUACGUCCUGGGCCACACACGUGCUACAAUGGCCGGUACAGAGAGCANCAUCUUGGCANCAAAGAGCGAAUCUACAAAAACGGUCACAGUUCGAUCGGGGUCUGCAACUCGANCCCGUGAAGCUGGGAUCGCUAGUAAUCGGAUAUCAGCCAUGAUCCGGNGAUACGUUCCCGGGCCUUGUAC
rnacentral:rRNA from 1 species